CCGGCGACCGGCGCACGGGUGAGUAACACGUAUGCAACCUGGCCGCCACAGGGGGAUAACCCGCGGAAACGCGGCCUAAUACCCCGUGACGCCACCGGAGGGCAUCCUCCGGGUGGCCAAAGGAGCGAUCCGGUGGCGGAUGGGCAUGCGGCGCAUUAGCUAGACGGCGGGGUGACGGCCCACCGUGGCGACGAUGCGUAGGGGUUCUGAGAGGAAGGCCCCCCACACUGGGACUGAGACACGGCCCAGACUCCUACGGGAGGCAGCAG
rnacentral:rRNA from 1 species